rnacentral:tRNA from 1 species
UCCUGAUGGCUCAGAUGGUAAAGAAUCUGCCUGCAAUGCAGGAGACCCAGGUUAGAACCUUGGGUCAGGAA